UUUUGCAAACAUUAAAAGCCUCUGCGGUAAUCCAGCAUUGAAUUUGAUAUAAAUACGGCAACCUCGACACUCAAAAAGUAAGAAGUUUCUGAGAUUGUCGUGCAGAUCCUCAACAUUGACAGAUCGUAUCUUCAAUACUAUCAUCACUAUGAAGUUCUUCUACGUAGUUUUCGUAGCAGCUGCGUUGGCCGUAAUGUGUCUCAUGUCUCCCACUCAAGCCAGUCCAAAGCCCAGAGAAAUACACGGCAAAUGAUUCCCUAAUUUUGAAAUUGUU